UAGUCAUAUGCUUGUCUCAAAGAUUAAGCCAUGCAAGUCUAAGUAUAAGCAACUAUACGGUGAAACUGCGAAUGGCUCAUUAAAUCAGUUAUCGUUUAUUUGAUAGUACCUUACUACAUGGAUAACCGUGGUAAUUCUAGAGCUAAUACAUGCUAAAAACCCCGACUUCGGAAGGGGUGUAUUUAUUAGAUAAAAAACCAAUGCCCUUCGGGGCUCCUUGGUGAAUCAUAAUAACUUAACGAAUCGCAUGGCCUUGCGCCGGCGAUGGUUCAUUCAAAUUUCUGCCCUAUCAACUUUCGAUGGUAGGAUAGUGGCCUACCAUGGUAUCAACGGGUAACGGGGAAUUAGGGUUCUAUUCCGGAGAGGGAGCCUGAGAAGCGGCUACCACAUCCAAGGAAGGCAGCAGGCGCGCAAAUUACCCAAUCCCGACUCGGGGAGGUAGUGACAAUAAAUACUGAUACAGGGCUCUUUUGGGUCUUGUAAUUGGAAUGAGUACAAUUUAAAUCCCUUAACGAGGAACAAUU
rnacentral:rRNA from 1 species